rnacentral:rRNA from 1 species
CCCUUAGAGUUUGAUCCUGGCUCAGAUUGAACGCUGGCGGAAUGCUUUACACAUGCAAGUCGAACGGCAGCAUAGAGAGUUUGCUCUCUGAUGGCGAGUGGCGAACGGGUGAGUAAUAUAUCGGAACGUGCCUAGUAAUGGGGAAUAACUAGCUGAAAGGUUAGCUAAUGCCGCAUACGACCUACGGGUGAAAGCAGGGGAUCUUCGGACCUUGCGUUAUUAGAGCGGCCGAUAUCUGAUUAGCUUGUUGGUGGGGUAAUGGCCUACCAAGGCGACGAUCAGUAGCUGGUCUGAGAGGACGAUCAGCCACACUGGAACUGAGACACGGUCCAGACUCCUACGGGAGGCAGCAGUGGGGAAUUUUGGACAAUGGGGGCAACCCUGAUCCAGCCAUUCCGCGUGAGUGAAGAAGGCCUUCGGGUUGUAAAGCUCUUUCGCAAGAGAAGAAAACUUGCUAUCUAAUAAAUAGUAAGUAUGACGGUAUCUUGACAAGAAGCACCGGCUAACUACGUGCCAGCAGCCGCGGUAAUACGUAGGGUGCAAGCGUUAAUCGGAAUUACUGGGCGUAAAGCGUGCGCAGGCAGUUUUAUAAGUCAGAUGUGAAAUCCCCGAGCUCAACUUGGGAACUGCGUUUGAAACUGUAAGACUAGAGUGUGUCAGAGGGGGGUAGAAUUCCAAGUGUAGCAGUGAAAUGCGUAGAGAUUUGGAGGAAUACCAAUGGCGAAGGCAGCCCCCUGGGGAUAACACUGACGCUCAUGCACGAAAGCGUGGGGAG